GCCCGAUUAGCUCAGUCGGUAGAGCGUGAGACUUUUAGGUUUCUUGCCAUCUCAAUGUCAGGGGUUCGAGCCCCCUAUCGGGCG
rnacentral:tRNA from 2 species